AUGUCUGAUCAGCUGACCGAAGAACAGAUUGCUGAAUUCAGGGAAGCUUUCUCUAUUGGAUAAAGAUGGCGAUGGCACCAUCACAACAAAGGAACCUGGAACUGUCAUGAGGUCACUGGGUCAGAAGCCGAAUUACGGGAUAUGAUCAACGAAGUGGAUGCCAAUGGUAACGACACCAUUGACUUCCCCGAAUUUUUGGCUAUGAUAGCUAGAAAAAUGAAAGAUACAGAUAGUAAAGAAGAAAUCCAUGAGGCAUUCUGAGUCUUUGACAAGGGUGGCAAUGGUUACAUCAGUGCAGCAGAACUAUGUCACGUCAUGACAAACAGGAGAAAAACUAACAGAUGAAGAAGUAGAUGAAAUGAUCAGAGAAGCAGAUAUUGAUAGAGGCUAACAAGUCAACUAUGAAGAAUUCAUACAGAUGACUGCAAAAUGA
rnacentral:lncRNA from 1 species